GUCUUUUAUGAUGAGACAUUCGAUAAAAUUUGAACGAUACAGAGAAGAUUAGCAUGCCCCCUGCAAAAGGAUGACACGCACAAAUCGAGAAAUGGUCCAAAUGUUU
rnacentral:snRNA from 1 species